UCCACUUGUCGACUAUUGGAAAUAUUAUCGUUGAGGUAGAAACGAAACAAACGAGAUGGACACACUUCGCACGAUGGAUGGGCCACUAUUGAAGGUUAGAAGUUUGAGAGAUAGCAUAUGGAAGAUAUAGAGGACAAUUUAUAUUUAUAUUUGUGUGCAACGAUAAAUCAUUACUAACGAAAAACGUUUAAAAGCGAAGUACGAUUAUACACGUUUUCGAAAAAUUACUUUGUUCGUGAGCAACUAGAUUUAAAAUGCAACAAAAAGGUCUCUUGUUAUUUGUAGAUUUCUAGGAGAAAACGUAAGUUUCAAAAUUGUAAUCA